UAAUGUAAGGGCAAUCUGGCCAUGACGUGUCACUCCAUGGAUUGCCAAGGUUGACUUGGCUGAUCUGGUUGGCUGGGUUGGUGCCCCUUCCUCACUGCUCCGUGAGACUGCUGAUACUGCUGGGAUGAAGAGGACAACUUUUCCUCAUAGAGGAGAGCCAUUCUCUGAUCAAGGGUCUUUAGAGUAGCUGCACUCCCUUCUAGAACCUCCAAACAAGCUCUUAGAUUGUUUAGGUUUAAGUGGUCAGUACUGUGUUUAGCCUAUCAUUAAAUGACUGGGUUCAUAUCA
rnacentral:snRNA from 1 species